AAUAAUAAUAAGUGGCAGUAUCAUAGCCAAGGAGGUUAAUCCGAGGUGUGAUUAUUGCUAGAUGAAAACUUUUCCACAAAUGGUCUGUGGAACUUUAAAAGCAGCAAAGAGUCCUGUGGCACCUAAUAGAUUAACAGACCUAUUGGAGCAUGAGCUUUCAU
ensembl:snRNA U4 U4 spliceosomal RNA